GGAGAGAUGGCCGAGUGGUUCAAGGCGUAGCAUUGGAAUUGCUAUGUCGAAUCCCUCUCUU
rfam:Solanum lycopersicum cultivar Heinz 1706 chromosome 12, whole genome shotgun sequence.